rnacentral:rRNA from 1 species
AGUGAACGCUGGCGGUAGGCCUAACACAUGCAAGUCGAACGGCAGCACAGUAAGCGCUUGCUCUUACGGGUGGCGAGUGGCGGACGGGUGAGGAAUACAUCGGAAUCUACUUUUUCGUGGGGGACAACGUAGGGAAACUUACGCUAAUACCGCAUACGACCUACGGGUGAAAGCAGGGGAUCUUCGGACCUUGCGCGAUUGAAUGAGCCGAUGUCGGAUUAGCUAGUUGGCGGGGUAAAGGCCCACCAAGGCGACGAUCCGUAGCUGGUCUGAGAGGAUGAUCAGCCACACUGGAGCUGAGACACGGUCCAGACUCCUACGGGAGGCAGCAGUGGGGAAUAUUGGACAAUGGGCGCAAGCCUGAUCCAGCCAUACCGCGUGGGUGAAGAAGGCCUUCGGGUUGUAAAGCCCUUUUGUUGGGAAAGAAAGGCAGCAGGUUAAUACCCCGCUGUUCUGACGGUACCCAAAGAAUAAGCACCGGCUAACUUCGUG